rnacentral:tRNA from 1 species
AUCUUUAUAGUUUAGUCAAAACAUUACACUGAAAAUGUAAAAACAUUUUUUUAAAGAUAAUUAACUUUUAGUG